GGUCUGGUGGUCUAGUGGUAUGAUUCUCGCUUAGGGAACACCCUAUGCAAAUAUGCGAGAGGUCCCGGGUUCAAUCCCCGGCCAGACCC
rnacentral:tRNA from 1 species